UAGCCCACACACUGAAAUGGUACCGCUGCCGAAAAUGCACAACAGUGGGGUGCUAUCAUCCAUAAGAAGCAACAGACUGUAUCACAAUCUUGAGUAGCAAUCUUAAAGAGAUUAUAUCCACAUUUUUCUCAUAUGCCCAGACCAGAUACAGAACAACCAGUUGUACUAUAUAAAGCCACACCAAAGAGAAAGAUAAAGAAGAAUGUACUUGGAGAUAUGAAACUCACUGACUGUGACCUACUUUCUAUUUAAUUAUGUCUUGCAACUUUUUACAUCAGAAGAAUGCACAGUGCAUUAGUAAUAAUAAGGUCAAGAUUUCCCAUAUUUGAU